UACGAAGGGGGCUAGCGUUGUUCGGAAUUACUGGGCGUAAAGGGCGCGUAGGCGGUUUAUCAAGUUAGGUGUGAAAGCCCUGGGCUCAACCCAGGAACUGCAUUUAAGACUGAUAGGCUAGAGAUCUAGAGGGGAUAGUGGAAUUCCAAGUGUAGAGGUGAAAUUCGUAGAUAUUUGGAGGAACACCAGUGGCGAAGGCGACUAUCUGGCUAGAAUCUGACGCUGAGGCGCGAUAGCGUGGGGAGCAAACAGG
rnacentral:rRNA from 1 species